UUUCGAAAAAUUUUUGUGUUAAAGGAGGACAUUUUUGAGAGUAACUGUUCCGGUUUUGGCGGUAUUUAACCAGAAAGCCAGGGCUAAUUACGUGCCAGCAGCCGCGGUAAUACGUAGGUGGCAAGCGUUGUCCGGAUUUAUUGGGCGUAAAGCGAGCGCAGGCGGUUUUUUAAGUCUGAUGUGAAAGCCUUCGGCUCAACCGAAGAAGUGCAUCGGAAACUGGGAAACUUGAGUGCAGAAGAGGACAGUGGAACUCCAUGUGUAGCGGUGAAAUGCGUAGAUAUAUGGAAGAACACCAGUGGCGAAGGCGGCUGUCUGGUCUGUAACUGACGCUGAGGCUCGAAAGUAUGGGUAGCAAACAGGAUUAGAUACCCUGGUAGUCCAUACCGUAAACGAUGAAUGCUAAGUGUUGGAGGGUUUCCGCCCUUCAGUGCUGCAGCUAACGCAUUAAGCAUUCCGCCUGGGGAGUACGGCCGCAAGGCUGAAACUCAAAGGAAUUGACGGGGGCCCGCACAAGCGGUGGAGCAUGUGGUUUAAUUCGAAGCUACGCGAAGAACCUUACCAGGUCUUGACAUACUAUGCAAAUCUAAGAGAUUAGACGUUCCCUUCGGGGACAUGGAUACAGGUGGUGCAUGGUUGUCGUCAGCUCGUGUCGUGAGAUGUUGGGUUAAGUCCCGCAACGAGCGCAACCCUUAUUAUCAGUUGCCAGCAUUAAGUUGGGCACUCUGGUGAGACUGCUGGUGACAAACCGGAGGAAGGUGGGGAUGACGUCAAAUCAUCAUGCCCCUUAUGACCUGGGCUACACACGUGCUACAAUGGAUGGUACAACGAGUUGCGAACUCGCGAGAGUAAGCUAAUCUCUUAAAGCCAUUCUCAGUUCGGAUUGUAGGCUGCAACUCGCCUACAUGAAGUCGGAAUCGCUAGUAAUCGCGGAUCAGCAUGCCGCGGUGAAUACGUUCCCGGGCCUUGUACACACCGCCCGUCACACCAUGAGAGUUUGUAACACCCAAAGUCGGUGGGGUAACCUUUUAGGAACCAGCCGCCUAAGGUGGGACAGAUGAUUAGGGUGAAGUCGUAACAAGGUAACCG
rnacentral:rRNA from 2 species